rnacentral:misc_RNA from 1 species
AACAUCGCGCACCUGCGGGAACCUGCGGAGGGAUCAUUAAUGUGAUGGAAGUGCUAGUCUUGACUUCUCAAUCCUCCUUUCAAUACUUAUUGCUAGGUGGGGGCUUAACAGCUCGAGAGGAAAGGAAACAAAAGCCCGUUUGGGUGUGCACUCCAAUACUAUCCAAUUUUAUUUUAACCUUGUGCAUUUUUGCCUACAGAGCAAACAAAGAGCAUCAAAAUGAUGCUUUUGAUUGUGUAU